ACGAACGCUGGCGGCGUGCUUAACACAUGCCCGUCGAACGGAAAGGCCCCUUUGGGGGUACUCGAGUGGCGAACGGGUGAGUAACACGUGAGUAACCUGCCCUUGACUUCGGGAUAACUUCAGGAAACUGGGGCUAAUACCGGAUAGGAAUCCUUGCUGCAUGGUGGGGGUUGGAAAGCUUCGGCGGUUUUGGAUGGACUCGCGGCUUAUCAGCUUGUUGGUGGGGUAGUGGCUUACCAAGGCUUUGACGGGUAGCCGGCCUGAGAGGGCGACCGGCCACAUUGGGACUGAGAUACGGCCCAGACUCCUACGGGAGGCAGCAGUGGGGAAUAUUGCACAAGGGGCGGAAGCCUGAUGCAGCAACGCCGCGUGCGGGAUGACGGCCUUCGGGUUGUAAACCGCGUUCAGCAGGGGCGAAGCUUGUGGUGACGGUACCUGCAGAAGAAGCACCGGCUAACUACGUG
rnacentral:rRNA from 1 species